GACGAACGCUGGCGGCGCGCCUAACACAUGCAAGUCGAACGGAGUUUCCCCUUCGGGGGGAGCUUAGUGGCGGACGGGUGAGUAACACGUGAGGAACCUGCCUUUGAGAGCGGGAUACCGUCUGGAAACGGACGUUAAUACCGCAUAAUGCAGCGAGGCCACAUGGCCAUGCUGCCAAAGAUUUAUCGCUCAAAGAUGGCCUCGCGCCUGAUUAGAUAGUUGGCGGGUAACGGCCCACCAAGUCUGCGAUCAGUAGCCGGACUGAGAGGUCGAACGGCCACAUUGGGACUGAGAUACGGCCCAGACUCCUACGGGAGGCAGCAGUGGGGGAUAUUGCACAAUGGGCGAAAGCCUGAUGCAGCGACGCCGCGUGAGGGAAGACGGUUUUCGGAUUGUAAACCUCUGUCUUCGGGGACGAAACAAGACGGUACCCGAGGAGGAAGCCACGGCUAACUACGUG
rnacentral:rRNA from 1 species